AAUAUAUAUAAUGUAUGUAUAUAAAAUGUAAAAAGCCAUGGGUUAAAAAUGUAAUGUAAGUCGCUUUGGAUAAAAGCUAAAUGACCUGUAAUGUAACGUAAUCUAUAUAUCGUGAUCUCUUGGCGGUGCGCUCGGUUCCGCCGCUGACGUCCACCAGGAGGCAGCAGAGAGCUGAACACUGCGCGCUGUCAAAGGGGAAACGUGGAUAAACUGCUGCGUGACGUCACUAAUUUGACCACAUUCAAAUUCCCAUUUGGUUUAAACAAAAGCUUGUUGCACCAGAAGUGAGUUGCGACUCCGUUUGUGAAAGCAGAGCGGUCCAAACAACAACAAUGUGUAAAUGGUUGUAGCACAUUUUCUCCACAACAGAGCUUUUGUUACUUGGUAUGUUAAGAUUUUCACUACCAAACAGUGAUAUCGGCGAUAACCUAAAUGUAUUGUUUUGGCAGAAUACAAACACCGACAAAGCAAUGAAAUUAAAUGAAAAACAACGUAAAAGUAUCACGUAAGAAAAGGAUAAAGAAGGAAAACUAUAUUUACAUGAAUAUUAUAUUAUAACACGGGUAGAUGAAACCCAGCGUCCUGAUUGGUUGUGAGUGAGUCACGAUGGGUACAUCAUUGCGUGAUUAUGUACAGUUUCUGUUCCCGUAAACCGAACAACGCCCUCAAACUGUUAAAUAAAGUACAGCCUCUCGUAAUUGCUUAAUUAUAUAUAAUUACACAUCUAUGUAGCCUCAGUUUAACUGAGAUACUUUAACAUGCUGUUGAUGUUAUGAAUCACAUAAAACGUCAAAUGUAUUUUUACAUUGAGGAAUUGUUGCUUACUGCAGUAACACCUUUUGUCAAUAAAUAUUUGGAAAAGCAAUGCUUUUAAAAUAUAUUAACUAUAUAAAAAGAAAAAGAAUCUUUAUGCAAAUCAUAAGGUUUCAAAGAAUAAAAGGAGACAAAACAGAGGGUGAGCUGCUCAUCAGCUGUUGAUCAAACACAACCCGCUCCCUCUUCCACAGAUGUGUUACUACUAUUCUCCUCUUAUUCUGACACGGUGUAUUUUUCCUCUCACCAAGAGCUAAAAAAGAAUAUGGGCGAAGUUUUCGGAGUGGCUCUAUUUAACGAAGGCGCAGCUGAUACAAUCUUAUCUUAUUCCUUAUCUUCUCCUUUUAUUUGUAUCCCAGAACUGCAAAUCCAACGACGUUUAGCUUCUGUGGAUCGGAAGCCUUUUAUUCUCCACCCGUGUUAAUGCGCGGGAAAGUGUCGCCAAAAGAAGGGAAACGUGAAUAAAAUAGGAAAACUUAUGAGGGACGGAAAGUGUUCUCACAACCUGGUCGUCGGGUUUUGGGCACAUUCCUGUCUGCGACGACGUUGGUUAGUGAUUGAGUGAUUAAGUGUGUGUGUGUGUGUGUGUGUGUGUGUGUGUGUGUGUGGCGAGUCCGGUCACACGAGUUUUGUUGAAGCACGGUCACAACACUUUAUGGAAUGUUCUUUUUUUCACCCCCACCAUUCAUUCUAGCACAUUCUUUACGGGGAAACAGAAAAGCGACAAAAAAAAUUCCAUUUAUUUGUGGAAUGAGACACUGAUCCAUUAAUCCAUCAACUCAUGAUGCACUGACAUUAUCGUGUAUCUAUUUUAUGUCAACCCUUUUCUAUAAAAACACAUGCAGGUACUUCUACUUGCCUCUAUGUCCCCGUGUUGCUAACAUUUAGCUAAUGGAAAAGCCUUUAGGGAAAUGGGCCUGGAAAUGACCCCCGGCCUCCAGGGCGGAAAAGACGAGAACAUUUGCCUCUGUUGGCGAAGCCGAUUUGCGUCUGGUCAUUUGCAUCGCGCCGCGCUCGCCUGCCUUUGUGCACGACGGAGCCUGUGGAGGCCCAUCGGCUACCAUCACGAGAGCGUGUCUGUGUGUGCGUGUGUGUGUGUGUGUGUGUGUAUGUACACAGCACACAGUGCAAACUCCCUUUGGCUUUAAGGAGAAAGGAGCUCCUGCGGCGGCGAUGUGGCCCCCGCUGUGCUUCCUCUGCGCUCGCUGCCUCCUCGCUCCGCUCCAGCGGGCCGCUCUCCGCUAAGUGUUUCAGCCAAAGCGGCCCUGACCUGCUGAACAAACACCCGACCGGGUGAUGCCUGUGCGCAUGUGACGGAUUUGCCCAAUGACGACUGAUUAAAAUGUUCUGAACCAGGUCUCCUCAACGUGUCGUAAUGAGGCGACAGGCGUUUGGCUGGAUGUUUUCCUCCGGUGUUAAAUAUGAGGUUAACAGACUUCCAGGAAUAUGGUUGAGGACAGAAUCGUAUGACCUUAAGUUGAUGAAAGUAUUAUUGUUAUUGUUACAUUAAUGAAGAUUUAUUGUUAAUCAAAAUUGCUCAAGACAAUGUUAUGCAUUUAAAAAUGUUUUACUCAGUGAAGACAGAGUUUCAUGUGAAACUGCGUUCAAACCUUCAAAGUGACGUCAAUCGAAGGUUUAAACCUGUUGGACAUAUUUGCCCUCAUUUUUCGCGGCAAAUAACGAACCUUCCGCGAAGGUGUGGAGUUGAUUACAUUCCAUACCUCAAGUCAACACACUCUUUGCAUAUCUCUCUUCUGACGCGUUCAGUUUGUCUGCGAUUAAAUCUUUAAUGAGGCAAAGCGAAGAGGAGUUUUUUUACGAAGCUGCUCGGUGACAUUUGAGAGCUCAGAUCCUCGUGGAGGAUCAAGUGACCCCCCAAAUGAGGGGAUUCCUUCUUCUUUUAAGACAUUUUUGCUGCCUUUGAUUCAACGUUGAAUGUGA
ensembl:lncRNA